CAGUGCAGCCGGGCUUCGGCCUGGCGGCGAGUGGCGAACGGGUGAGUAAUACAUCGGAACGUGCCCUGUUGUGGGGGAUAACUAGUCGAAAGAUUAGCUAAUACCGCAUACGACCUGAGGGUGAAAGCGGGGGACCGCAAGGCCUCGCGCAAUAGGAGCGGCCGAUGUCUGAUUAGCUAGUUGGUGGGGUAAAGGCCUACCAAGGCGACGAUCAGUAGCUGGUCUGAGAGGACGAUCAGCCACACUGGGACUGAGACACGGCCCAGACUCCUACGGGAGGCAGCAGUGGGGAAUUUUGGACAAUGGGGGAACCCUGAUCCAGCAAUGCCGCGUGUGUGAGAAGGCCUUCGGGUUGAUAAACACUUUUGUCCGGAAAGAAAUCGCGCUGGCUAAUACCGGCGGGAUGACGGUACCGGAAGAAUAAGCACCGGCUAACUACGUGCCAGCAGCCGCGGUAAUACGUAGGGUGCGAGGUUAAUCGGAAUUACUGGGCGUAAAGCGUGCGCAGGCGGUUUUGUAAGACAGGCGUGAAAUCCCCGAGCUCAACUUGGGAAUGGCGCUUGUGACUGCACGGCUAGAGUAUGUCAGAGGGGGGUAGAAUUCCACGUGUAGCAGUGAAAUGCGUAGAGAUGUGGAGGAAUACCGAUGGCGAAGGCAGCCCCCUGGGACGUCACUGACGCUCAUGCACGAAAGCGUGGGGAGCAAACAGGAUUAGAUCCCUGGUAGUCCACGCCCUAAAGAUGUCAAUAGUGUGGGGAUUCAUUUCCUCAGUAACGUAGCUAACGCGUGAAGUUGACCGCCUGGGAGUACGGUCGCAAGAUUAAAACUCAAAGGAAUUGACGGGGACCCGCACAAGCGGUGGAUGAUGUGGAUUAAUUCGAUGCAACGCGAAAAACCUUACCUACCCUUGACAUCCACUAACGAAGCAGAGAUGCAUCAGGUGCCCGAAAGGGAAAGUGGACACAGGUGCUGCAUGGCUGUCGUCAGCUCGUUCGUGAGAUGUUGGGUUAAGUCCCGCAACGAGCGCAACCCUUGUCUCUAGUUGCUACGCAAGGGCACUCUAGAGAGACUGCCGGUGACAAACCGGAGAAGGUGGGGAUGACGUCAAGUCCUCAUGCCCUUAUGGGUAGGGCUUCACACGUCAUACAAUGGUGCGUACAGAGGGUUGCCAACCCGCGAGGGGGAGCUAAUCCCAGAAAACGCAUCGUAGUCCGGAUCGUAGUCGCAACUCGACUCGUGAAGCUGGAAUCGCUAGUAAUCGCGGAUCAGCAUGCCGCGGUGAAUACGUUCCCGGGUCUUGUACACACCGCCCGUCACACCAUGGGAGUGGGUUUUCAGAAGUAGUAGCCUAACCGCAAGGAGGGCGCUUACCGGCAGCUGAUGGGGGAGCGUAACCCGUAUCGCCC
rnacentral:rRNA from 1 species